rnacentral:rRNA from 1 species
GCCUAUGGCCACGCCACACUGAAGGCACUCACUCUCGUCUGAUCUGGGAAGCUCAGCAGGACUAGGCCUAGUUAGUACUCAGAAGGCAGAUGAUGCAGGUG